AGGAGAGAGAGAGAGAGAGAGAGAGAGAGAGAGAGAGAGAGAGAGAGAGCGUGCAAGCGCUUAUACUGUGUAAAGAACAAUUGGAGAAUAUCCUCUGGCCUGAAAACAUGUGCCAUUGACUUCUAGGUUGUUCUAGGAGCCUUUAUUAAAUUUAAUUUCAAUUAAAAUGUUUGGGGAGCCAGCUCCUGGGAAUACUAAUCAAUAUGUCCCUUUAGUUGAACAGUCCCAUGAUGGGUCUUACAUGCACCUUAUUGAUCUGGAAUGAAGGUAAUUCUCUUUUACCUGACAUCUUGGCUCCUGGCAAGCUCCCCAUUGGCCUCCGUGUGUUCAACCUCAUCAGCAUUCUGAGACUCAAAUCAGCAUGGGAGCAGAGAGUGGUUUCCCCCUGGUAACGUGUAGCUCUGGCCACUCAUGAUCAAUUUGUUAUCUGUGCUCAUCGACAUAUUGGCGAUUUCAUAUUUUGGACAAUUCAGAAGAGCGCUUCUGGUUUGAAGCUCACAAGAACUGUCAGGAAGUCGCACCGUCCUGAGGAGUAGAUUAAAACACUGUAGAUAUUGAGAAAGCCAUUUGAGGUCACAGUCUGCACGAGAGGGAACAUGUCACCCAGGAGCCGAGGAAGUACAAGGAGAUGACCAACAGGCACACCAGCCCGAAGACGACAAGGCGUUGAUAUCGUUCAGAUUACUCCUUCCAAGGUGCGUGUUCAGAGGUCCUUAGAAAGGCUAAGCCCGGUAACCUAGGUUUCAUCCCAGGAACCACAUCGUGGAAAGGAAGAAGCGACUCCUGUAGGCUGUCCUCUGACCUCCACGCGUACGCCACAUCAGGUGUGUGCAUCAGCCAUACCACGGAGAACUAAAGCUGAAAAUGUAGAGAACUAGUUUAGAGACAAAGACAACCCGGUGUGUACUUUCAUAAUCCUUCCCAGAGAAGAGCCUGCAGCCUCAGGAGAUCUGGAGGCCCCAGUGGAGACCCACGAGACUUCAGACAUGAAGACAUGAAACUUGAGACCUGUGCCUCUGGGGUUUUUAAAGCCAAUACAAAUAAGUGUGUGAUUUGAAAGAGCAGGGAAAUGAAGCACAAGGAGUUAUUUGAGGCUACUUGGGGAUUGGGUUGCUGAGGUCUCAAACUAUUAUUAAUAUUCCCUAUAUAAAUGAAUGACAUAGGGUUGGCAAGAGGGUUCAGUGGGUAAAAGGUGUCUGUUUCUAAGACUGAUGGCAUUAAGUCCUGGCUGGGGGAUCUACAUGGCAGAAGGAGAGAAUUGACUCCUACAAUCGUCCUCUGACACAGAGGUGCUUUGGUACAUAUCCUUCCCUAUCACAAAUAAACGAACGAAUGAAUGAAUGAAUGAAGAAAGGAAGAAAGAAAGAAAGAAAGAAAGAAAGAAAGAAAGAAAGAAAGAGAGAAAGAAGGCAUCCAAGAAUGGGCCAAGAUAUAAUGUUAGACUAAAGACAGCCUGACUCACGAACACGACUAAAGACGGCAAUCGUGUCACUGAACGGCGGGCGUGCAGUGUAGGCUCUCCCAGUGUAGUCUAGGCAGCUUCACAAGCCAAGCCUGGGUUUGCCCCCAGCCUCUCCACCUUGACUUUCCGGAAUGUUCUUUUGAACAGAGCAGAGUACACGAGUAGGAGGCACUGGGUUACUUGAUGAGGUGUGUCGAGCUGUGCAUGUCAGUACAUGUGUCAUUGGAGGCCAGAAGACUGUGAUGGAUCUCUUGGAGCUGGAGUUAAGGUGGUUGUAAACUUUGAAUUCAAGUAGGGUCCUUUGGAAGAACAGUACAUGCUCCUAGCUACUGAGCUAUCCUCGAGACCAGUGCUUUCUUGAAAACAACUUCUGAUGAACACUAGGCCUCUGUCAGUCCUCAAGAAUCUGACCAGAGCUGCACCCGUGUGCUUGUCAUUAGGAAGCCUGCUUAGCCCGCUGCAGAGGAAUCCUAGUCCAUCACACCUUUGGCGUGAAGUCCUACUGGGCCAAGUGGGCUUCCUAGGAGCUGUUUCUAGCCAAGUCUCCAUAUGCCUAGUGGGCGGGUGUUGAAACCUGGGUCAGGCUUGGCAGGAGAUCUGCAGAGGGAGCUGUUACAACCCAAACAGUCACUGUGUGCACAGUGCUUCACAUGUCUUCCAUAUGCCUGGAACCAGUCACUGGAAACUGCAAGACUCUGUGCAACCCCAAGAAAUGACUGUUAGAGAAAGUAAGUGCCUGGGACUCACGGGACUAUUAGGUCUAAUCAGCAUCCUAAGAACUACUGAGUAUUUAAAUUAUCACACUGAGGGAAAUAGACCCCGGUCAGUCCUUCUGCUUUUGGACUGAAAUAAAGAUGUUUGGUCGUCUGA
rnacentral:sRNA from 1 species